AGCACAGCAGCAGUGUUUGAGACAACAUUACCCUGUCGAAAUGAACACACUAAGCAAGAAACGUCUGAUGAGCUUGCUGUUAUUCCCCUCCCUGCGUUACCUAUAACCUGCCUACGUAACACUUAGUAUCUGCUGUGUGCAGCCACAUGUGAGAGAGGACAACAAACACCGGCAGCUGCUGUGCCAUAAACUUUGGCUUUAAAACUUCAUACAACAAGACCCAAACAAAGAAGCGCUGAACACAAAAUAGCUCCAGAACAGGCUGAAGGAGAAAGGAGUGAGUGGAGUCACCCUGAAGUGGAGACAGCAGACUGAUGGGAAAGUCUUCCACAAGGAGGACAAGACUGAGCUCUAAAACUAAAAUAUAACUGUACUUCUGUUUCUCUGUAAUCCUUGUAAUCUUUAUCUGCUAAUACACACAGUACACUAUUAUCACUGUACUGAGUGCUUAACCAGAACCGUGAAUACAUCCCGUAGACUGUCAUAGAAGAGUUUUGUCCCCCAUCAUCAAUAUUACUGAGUGAAGUGUGUUAAUGACAUUAAAAUUUCUUCAAAAUAAGAUAUAUGUAUGAGAUGUGGCUUUGGCUUCAAGUUGACAGUUUGUGAACCAGUCUGAUAAAACCUGUUAGGUCCGCCAAUAAUACAGACACAGAAAAACUAGGACUAUGAGACAUUAGGCCUGCACCACAGCAGGCACAGUUUAUGUUUAUUUAUCCAAGGGAAGGCAAUGUACAGGUAAACGGGAGUAAGCAGUCCAGGAAAUCAUAAAUCCACAUGGGUAGCAAAAUUGAAACUCAAAGGGUAUCAAAAACAAUAGUCCAAAACAUGAAGGCUAAAAUGUUAUAAAAUGUUGCUGACCAUUUGUGUUUCCCAGCUCCAGGACAAGCUAAGGGGAAAAGGAGUGGAGUGGAGUCACCCUGAAGUGGAGAGAGCAGCCUGAUGGGGAAAGUCUUCCACAAGGAGGACAAGACUGAUCUCUAAAAUUUAAAUCCAAUUGUUUCCAGUUAAAUUUUGUUGUUUUUGUUUGUUUGUUUACAUAUUUUAAUGGUUGUAUUAUGCCUUAGUGAAGUUUUAUGUGUAAAAGUGAAUAAAUGUAAGUUAUGUAAUGAUUAAUGGGAGGAGAUUGUUUGCCAUAAUGUCAUCCAGCCAUGGAGUGACCUUAAUUCCCAGAUAUGUUAUUCCAGAUGGCCGUUAUGCAAAUUGUCAUCCCUGCCAGGUGGACAGAUUUUGAUAGUGUCAUUGCCUCAGACUUUGACCAUUUUAUUUUGUAUCCCGAUACACCAGAAAAAGAGUAAAUCAAGGUGAUUAUUUUUAUAAUAUUUUUAUUUAUUGAGAACAGACAUAAUUUUUGAGAUAAAAAGCUUUACAGCAAUCGUUAAGUAAUCAUUUUGCAAAUCACUGUUGUGGUGGCAGCCCGGCUGACGGUGAGUGUCCUGGUUUUUUCUCCUUUUAUCAGUUAUUCUGCCUUUUCCUUGGUUUUCUGUUCCCUGC